rnacentral:rRNA from 1 species
UACGGGGGGGGCAAGCGUUGUUCGGAAUUACUGGGCGUAAAGGGCUCGUAGGCGGCCAACUAAGUCAGACGUGAAAUCCCUCGGCUUAACCGGGGAACUGCGUCUGAUACUGGAUGGCUUGAGUUUGGGAGAGGGAUGCGGAAUUCCAGGUGUAGCGGUGAAAUGCGUAGAUAUCUGGAGGAACACCGGUGGCGAAGGCGGCAUCCUGGACCGAUAUUGACGCUGAUGCGCGAAAGCCAGGGGAGGCAAACGGG